UUUUUUUUUUUUUUUUUUUUGCAAUACAGUGAUUAUUUUUGAUUGUUGGAACAGGAUUAAAUAGCAGAUUUACGUCUUCCAUUUGAAAGCAAUAGUCAUGUGUAGCCUGGGGAAAUAUUGGGUAUGGUUUGCGUACGUAUACGGCAUCUAUAUAUAUACGUAUUCCAGAGGGUUUGAGUGAAAAUAUUAUCAGUUUUUCUUUUUGUCAAAAAUGAAAUAUCAUCAGGUGAUACUCUUAUAUUUCUACAUUUAAACUUUGUUUUUUUUUUUUUGUUUGGCACAGAACAAAAUAUCAAACUCCAACCAAUUCUUGUUAAAACUAUAAUGUACUACUAAAGUACACAAGAAAGAAAAAGAAACGUCACAGUUGCAUAUAUAUAUAUAUAUGUGUGUGCGCGCGCGCGCGCAUAUGGUUGUUAAAGGUCCUCUCCAAAUUUCAUGCAUUAUUGAAGCUGUGGAAAAUCAAUCGCUGACCAAUGUCUUUUUUUCAACAUGUCAAAGUCAAUUUCAUUCUCCCGUGGAUUGUGUAGUAUUAGAUUUUGCAAAGAAACGCGAAAUUCACCGAAAUCCAAGAAACAAGUGCAAAGGGUACUGUCACUGUCCUUGAUUUUUGAUGAAGAAAUUUAAUUAAAUCAUGGAACUCACCUAACUUGCCUUUGAAUUGUUUGUUUGAUUUACACAAGUCAAAACAAAACAAAUCCCGCUUGGCCUAGCAGUUUACUGCCUUCCAUCAAUACAUUGCGGUAUGAUUUAAGAGAAAGUGCCUAAUUUAUUAAUUAAACAAGUUUGAGUGGACUUAAGACGAAAUAAUGACCGACUUUCAAAUGCAUCUGAUGCCCGCCUUGCAGGAGUCUCUCUUUCAAGUCCUCUCAGAAAUUAUAGUCCGCAUAAUCAUAUGAUUGACACCAAUUGAGUUGAGGAUAUAUUUGAUUGGAAUAUCCCAAUGGGAGAAACUGAACGAUGCCUAGCUUGCUGCUUCUCAAUUUUUGUUGGCUGUAUAUUUUGUCUAUCUCAUUAAUUAGCAAUCCAAUUUUUCAUCAAUUUUAAUACUGACGUCCAAAGAUACCUGAUUUGGAAAUCUUCAGACUAUCAAAAAAUUUUGGAUUUGAUUGCAAGUUCAUAUCCUGUUGGUGUCUUUAGGAACAGCAAAAAAACUUUACUUCAUGCAAAAUUAAAGCGACUCGAUCGCUAUCGGCUGGGAAAAGAUCAUGGCCUCGGGCAUACAAUAUCAAUGAAGAUAUUUUGCGAUCAAAUCUCAUAACAUAUAAACCAUACAUUCUGCAGUGUGAAAAAAAUGCACUAGUUGAUGCCAUUUUAGUUUGAUUUUUGUAUUAAAACAUUUGGCAUUAUCAAUGUUAUCCUUCAUAAAACUGACAUGAGUACCUCUUGUGAAGAAAAUCUUCAGCUACUCAAUUGAUACCAUCAUUCUAGCUACUACUGCUUUAUUUGUUUAUUUUUUUCUCAGAUCAACUCCUUAAUUCUUUACGAUUAAUUAUGCCUCAUUACACUGCAGGGCAUCAAUUCAGAUAGAAAUACAUAUCAUUCACAAUCAUAUUGAGCCUUGAAAGGGAAGUCUACAAAUGGUCCUGAAAUUCUGGUUCCCCAGUAUAUAAAAUUUGAGCCGUAGAUUAUAACAAGGCCAAAGGUACAAUAUUCGUCCGAAACUGUGAUGUGGCAGCCAGAUUAAAUUUCAUCAUCAUACCAUCUCCCUUUGUUAAUAAGCAACAAGAAUAAAAUAAAUUCUGUCCAGAAAAAGAAAUUAAUAUAUGUAUUCUAAAGUGGUCGCGAGCAGAAUAAAAUAUUUUACUAUCAAAGAAUUCGAUUCAAAAAUUCCUUCUUCAUUAAUCAAAACAGUUUUUUUUUUUUCUCAUGUCAUAAUAUUUCAAUAUUCUCCCUUGCUUUGUCUAAUCAUCAUCUAUUAAAAUGUCAACCAGAUUCCGGUAGUUCCCUGUCCGUACCCUCCAACCGUUUCACAUACACUAGUAUGUGUGUGUGCGUGAGAGAGUCCCUAUAUAAAUUACUCAUCGCCAAGCUGCAAUUCCCUUUCAUACAAGCCAAACUUAGAAACAGGACAGAGCUAGCCUCAAACAAAGAAGAGGAGAAAAGCUAAGAAAUCAAGAAACUAUUGCAAAUCAAGAAAGCGAUCAGAGAGAGGAGAUGGCAGAUGAGUUUCAAGGUGAGGUUUGUGGUGGGAGUUGGUGGAAUUCAUCAAGAAGCAUGUUUGGAUCGUCCCCUUGUUCAUCUGGGAUUCUUCAUGACUUGGGAAGCUUUGGAUGGUCGACUGACUUUCUAGACUCGAAAGCAAGGUCUAGUGAUGAUCAGUCUGGUAAUUCAGCUAACUCUGAUGGUUCUAUAGUGAUUCAAGAUUUGCAAAAACCCAACCAGCCUGAGUCAGCCAGCAACAACAGCAACCUCUCUAUAGAUUCAACCCUCCAAAUUUUGGGUAUUGGCCUUUCAUCUCCAUCAACAACUGAUUGGGAUCGAACUUUGAUGUAAGCUAGCUAGCUCAAACUCCUUAAACUCCUCUUUUUUUUUUUUUUGUGGGUAUUAUGUCCCAUUAUUAAUUAUCUUUUCUUUAAAAUCUCAGUUGUGAUUUUUUUUAGACAUUUAUCCCACUAGGUUAGACAUCAUGGUCCAUGCAUUUGUUGCCAAAUGCAAAGUAGCGUAUAGUUAAAGAUAUUCACUUUUGUAAUGAUAUGGGAAAAAGGAAGUCAAGUUGAUCGAUAAAGUUAUGGUUCUUUCUGCUUGUCAUUUUGUAGGCAUGGGAGUAGUAAUGGAAGGUCUGAUCAAAGCAAUUACCAACCCAUGCUGCAAGAAGACCACAAUUCGAGCAUGAAUUAUCGGCAAGAAAGAGGGCUCGAUAGUUGUCCUGCCGAUCAGAUCCAAAAGGACUGGAGUAGUACUCUCAAGAACAACUUUUCCACCAUAGUUGAAGAAGAUUCUUCCAUUAACUCCUUUAAAUCUUCCGGGAAUCAGCCUUUGAAUUCCAUCACCACCACAAGUCAAUGUACGGCGGCGACUUGUGCUGGUGUAUCCACCAGCUUUCCAAUUAGUUCAGCUUCCUACGGUUAUUCUUCAACUUUGCUGCAAACCCUUUUCGACACUGAAGUACCUCAACCACAACAAUCUUUAUUCGGAACCCGGCCAAUGAACUAUCCAUCUACCACAAGUUACCAGAACGAGUUUUCACCUUCUUUGCCCAAAUUUUCUCCCUUGCCAAAGCUACAAAACACUAACAGCUUGCAACUCUCGACCAACCCGAACUUCUGUAAUGGAUCAGCUGCAGCUUUCAAUGAUUUGCGGGUCAACUUUUUCCCUUCAGUUCAGUCGCAGUUUCCCUCCUCAACGUUUAACGAGAAACCAAGUCUUCCGAGCAUCACUACAAAGGUAAAGGGUUUUUACUUGUAGCCUUAUAACCAGGGUUCCAUUCUCUGGGACUUCUAGCCUUAUAACGAGGGUUCCAUUCUCAGUAUCCCUUUUUCUUUUUUUUCUUUUUUUUUUUUUUUGGGGGUAGGUUCCAUUCUCAGUACCUUUAUUUCCCCUAGAUCUCUUUCUUCUUCUUUAUUGCCUCUCCCUUUCUUUAAAAAUGAAUUAAAAAAUAAAAAAGAUUGUGAAACUGGAUUGAGAAGUCUGAUGAUUAUAAGCCACUAGGGUUUUACACUUUUACUCAGUACUCAAAGUUGAUACAUUUCUUGAAAAUUUUCAGGUUAGUAAUGAUGGAAUCCGAGGUUUAGGGUCCGUGGCAAAGAAAAGUAGCAGUGAACCGGCAUUCAAACGUCCUCGUAUUGAAACACCAUCGCCAUUGCCAACUUUUAAGGUACAAUAGCCCUGUUGAUUAAGCUUUUGACUAAAGUGAUCUUUAAGCUUUUUCUUUAAUUACGAGUCAAGAUCAUUAUAACUACAAAGAAAGAUGAGACGUUUUCGGCUUUGAUAUACCAGGUUCGAAAAGAGAAGUUGGGGGACCGAAUAACUGCCCUCCAGCAAUUGGUUUCACCUUUCGGAAAGGUAAACAUCUGGAUUUUGUUUUCCUGCUUUUUCUGAAAUUACUAUUCAUAUAGGGUUAACUUGGUUUAUUAACUAUGUUGCUCUUACUUUCAGACAGAUACUGCUUCAGUUCUCCAUGAAGCUAUUGACUACAUCAAAUUUCUACAUGAUCAAGUCAAUGUAAGUCGUCCUAUUAUCACUUUUUCUAGAAUUUUUCGCCCAAAAUAAAGUUCAAAAAGUUAAUCUAAAUAUUCAAAACUAUGAGAAUAACAUUGAUAUAAUUCUUUCCUCAUGAAUGGUUUUAGGUGCUAAGUACUCCAUAUUUGAAAAAUGGAUCACCCAUUCAGCGUCAACAGGUAUGGCAUUACACUGCAGUAUAAGAUUUUCCAUGGUAGUAAUGUUUUCUAUGACUUCCACAGACUAAUGUAAGUGAAUUACUAAUAUGCUCUGCAGGCUUCGGAUAAAGUAAAGGAUCAAGAAGGGUCAAAAGAAGACUUGAAAAGUAGAGGGCUUUGCCUGGUGCCCAUCUCGAGUACCUUUCCAGUUGCUGCUGAGACUACAACUGAUUUCUGGACUCCGACAUUUGGGGGCACAUUUAGGUAGAGGAGGAGGAGGAGGAGAAGAAGAAGAUAAUAAGCUCAAAACUUUACACGAAGGAAAUCAUAUAGUAGAUACUAGCUAAUAACAAGUUAAUCUCAUACGAAUCCUGAAAAGUUUGUUGGAUGAGUGAAAACUGAUCAGAUUGCUGUAGUAGUAUGCAUGUAUUGAAGAAAAAGCAAGACAGGAGAAAAGGGAAAAAGAGUAAGUGGCCCUCUCCAAGGAAGGGAAGCCAGCCAAUGCUGGGCCAUCUACAGGCAAAAAUGAUGUAGCAGUGCAAAUGAUUAGGUACCAGGCUGCCAGCCAAGGGAAAAUUAUAUAGAGAGCUGUAAGUUUCAAUGUUUUAAAUAGCUUAAUUUGAUGUUGAUUAGGAACAGGAACAGGUGCUAAAUUUAGCUGAAGGAUAUAGACGAAUUAGUUUCAGAGGACAUGCAUGUAUUGUUUGUGGAGCUGGAUUUAGCAGAUUAAGGGAAUUUUUGUUCCUGUUUCUUUAUUUAGAUUAUUUAAAUCAAGGGUUGUUACUUAAUUGUCACCUUUUUCAUUUGUCCAAAUUACCUGAUUUAACAAAUCAAAGUAGAUGAAAUAGUGACAUAUUUUCUUGAAUUUUCAGUACUAAAGUUUGUGGAUGGGAUUAGUUUUGUUUGUUAUGGCUUUUGAAUUGUUUAUCAAUUUGGAAUGUUAGUGGAAGUCAGAGGGCGUCCCACUGUUCCAUCUUUUAGGGUUUCUCAUUAUUGGUAUGAGCCAUAUAGCUUUCUUUGUUCAUGCACGCGUUGCUGCCCAUGGUAGCCUUCCAACCUUUUCUAUAUUUUGGUACUAACAAUGCUCCUUUUGCUGUUUUCACCUGCAAAACAAUGGCUUAUGCUCAUUCAAGGACCCCUUCCUAUUUUUUACAACAAUUUCCUUCACCAUGAAUUUUGAGUAUAGCUAGCUUUACAUCCACGAGGUGAUUGUCAUCAACGAAAAUUUAGCUUUACUCUUUCUUUCGUUCAUUCUCUUUUUGUCUCCCGUCCAAGUUGGAUAACAAAUUCCACUCCAAAUGGCUCAUUAGUUUUUAAUCAGUAGUUGUUACUUAAUUCGUAGAUAAACAGAUUUUUUUUUUCUCAUAUAGAAAAUAAAAACGUAUGGUAACGUCUUAAUUUUUUUCAAACUUUUUUUUUAUUAAUUCAAUUUACCCCCAAAAAGAUUAUUCAUCAAGCCAUUGUUCCUUGUGUUCAAUUUGUUUUUAGAUAAUGACUUCUUAAUUAACAACAUAGAUGACUAAAAAAACAAUGACCAAAAAGUGACCUGGAAAAGAAAAUGUUUGAAAGGUAAAGAAAUUAAUCUAAUUCAACUUUACACACCUAACUUUUUAAUCAUUUAAUAUUAUGUUCCUCCAACUAUGAGUUCAAGUACCUUAAACUAAUCGCCAUUACUUAGCCCUUUGGCACAAUGUCACCUUGACUUUUUAAACUUUUUCUUUUGAGCACAAUAAAAUUGGAAUUAUAUCAUUGUGGCAACACAAUUCAGAUUUAAUUUAUACUCUUUGUCUAAAUAACAUACUAUAUCGAUAUGGAGCAAAGAAAAAUUAAGAAAAAGUUAAUCUUAUAGUAAUUAAAAUGCUUUAAUGUGUUCGGUUUAAAUAAGAUGCUAAUCAGAAACUGCAGUGGUUAACUAUUCUUCUUAUUAUUUCAUUUAGUCUUUAAACAUCUUAAGGUAAUCUCGUUGCUAAAUGCAACGUUGCCAUUAUGCUUAACAAACGUAAGUUCGUCUCUAACGCAAGAAAUAUGUGAUCAUGACCAUGUCAAAUUUUGGAUUGUGAUGUGCAAAGAAGAAGUAGAGGAGACUCUGAACUGUUUAUCUGCUUUGUAGAAAUAAGCCUGUUCACUAAGGAUAACCAAAAUCAGAGCGGAGCCAGCCAUUCAAGAAAGCAAUAAGGACACUCAAACUGGGAAAGAUUGAGCAACUCAAUGUACAUGGGUAAAUGGUGCAAGAAGUGUGCGAUUUAUAUAAAGGUUAUAUAUAUAUAGGUCCAUUUCUCAUGGGGACCUUAUCCAUCUUUAUAUUGGUGCAACGGUGGAAAAGUUUUGAAAAAUCUCUUUCGGGACUUCAUUUUCCGAAGGUUCUCAAGUCAUUACUUUCAAACUAAAAGAAUUUCCAUCUGAAAAGAACAGUGAUGCUAUCUUAUUUUGUUUUUAUUACUUUUUUAAAAAAAAAAUUUUACAUGCAGUUACAACCGAUCACACCAACAUUUAGUGGCACCCAUUUUAGCUCUAGAAGAUUAUACAGAAGAACAUCCUCUUAUGGGAUGCAUAAGACAAAAAUUCAGGAUAUAGCUAUUAAUUAGCCAAGCUUGGACGUUCCAUUAAUGUAUUUGGACCGCCACAAACAUGAUGAGAAUUGACAAUUCCAGUACCUAAUUAAUAAUGGGACUCGAGAUUUUCCUUCUGUAAGACAUGUAAAAUGGGGUACACCUGGUAAAAAAGAAAAAAAAAAUUUGUACAAAGAUUAUUUGAGAAGCUUAAAUUGGAAGAAUCCCACGGACAAGCGACUGAUCAUAGAAAAGUACUUUGACAGCAUGCCGAAACUUUACUUGACAAGUAAUUCUUUGGGCUCGAGGGGUAUCCGCUUUAUUGUCUUUCCGUGACAAACGAUUUUUGGGUCGAUCGGAUAGUGAGUAUUAUACCAUAUAUGUCUACAAUUCCAGCAUCAGGGAUCGGUGCCUCUUCCUAUAGAUCAAGUGUUCAUAGCAAAAUAUUUUUGAUCCUACAUAUAUAGGAGAUAAUUAGUAUGAAAGAAUACUAUAAAGGAAAGGCAUCUAGGCAUCAUUGUGAUGUUAAUAAAAAAAAAAAAGGGUACAUGACUCCCGGACGUAACAAUCUUGCUUUAGUGAACAAGACUUCUUUUCUCAUUUUGGCCAAUCGGGGGCAAAUUCUACCGUCCAUCUUCAAUGAGAAGUCUUACUUAUUAAAAGGUCCUUUGCCUUUUUAUACAAAACUUUGCACCUGAUCUUCCGAGGCCUGCCUUUCAUUCGAGUACAGCCAUAAAGUGAUUCAUCUGAUAUUAAAGUAGAUGUUUGCAAACUGUGAUGGCCAGAAAGGUUUCUGAUCCCCUUCAACAAUUUGAAUAUAUAUGUCUUCAGUGUUGAGAGAUGCCAAUAUUUGUGAUUCAUCCGUAUCCAUUGAUCGAUAACUCACAAUCACGUACGAUCCAAAACUGAGUUUUAAGUGUACAAAUUUUUGCCACUAAAUUGAUCAGUAGUUUGUACCAUCAUAAAACAUGUCGUUACGUACGCUAAGAUCUUUCUACAGGUGCAAACCUGCCUAACAAACUACAAAGAACAUGCAUAUAUCCCAUAAGCAUAACGAUGAAGAAAAUUUCAUGAAACACCUUUGUAUUUGUCUGUCCCCUUAUUAAUAAUAAGGGGAUUAAAAGAUAGGUAAAGACAUACCUUACUGAAUGCAAUUGACAUCGAAUAUAUGUUAAUAAAUCAAAUAGAAUUGGUAGCAAACUAAUGUUAGGCUAAAUUUGAAUGGUGAUUCUAUUUCUUGUGCAUAUAUCAAUUACGCAUAAAUGUCUUUGUCCAGAAUUAAAGGAGGAGGUGAAAGAUAGAAGAAAUGCAUAGCUAGACACAAUUUGUUUGUAUGUUUUUGUAGGAUUCCGAUCCGAACUUUCAUGAACACACAAGCUUUGGGGAGCUUCCAGAGUUGAAGAAGAUCAGAUUUCUGUCUGUUUCCUCUUUAAUUAACAAGUGGUUUGCAACAAUUUUCCGAAGGUGGACUGAUAGGAAAGUUUGGGAAAAAGUGAAACGAGAUAAAAUGCUAUCUAGCAUGGAGGACCUCCUUUAAGAAGAUGAGAUGGACCACGAGUCUCCUGGAAAUAUUCUCUGACAGCCUUCAAGCUAUACAAGGUAAAUGCAUGUGGCCAUGUCUGUUGAAGCUAUUCUCAGAACUGUGUAAAAAGCCACAUGCCAUCAUCUGUAAAAGAGAAAAAUCAUUGUUUACCACCUAUCGGGUGGCAGCAAAUCUGUUGGUGCAAUAUUUUACCACCUAUCGGCAGGCAAGUGAUCGGCUGUCAAGCAUCAGCGCCAACACAAUCUAAAGAUUGUCCCUCAACUGAUUGGCCGAUUCGAUUGCUUGAACUUCUCAUGCGUUAUUUAUCUAACAUGAUGAACAAUGUCUUUCAUCAUCUCAUUCAAAUGCAAUUGUUGAUCUAUAAAUGGUUAUGCUGCAAAUUUUAUUGACCCGCUAUUUGGUUUCACACACACAUCUGUUCUUGGUACAAAAUCCACUAAUUAAUCUAUUCGUCGUGACUCUUUGUUUAUAUUUCACGCCAGCUUGCUGAGUUCACAGCUUGAUAACAUUUUCAAUUUGGUUACAAUUCUUAUUCAGUUAAAUUAAGUAAAUUUGAAGAACAGAACUUUGCCAUAUUAUUUUUGUUAAUAAAAGGGUUAACGAAUCUCCACAAAAUUUCUCUAAUGAAUGUGUAAACAAAAAAUUACUAAAAAAAAAUCCAAAAAUCAAAUGCAGAACAACAUGUUUAUGGGCUCCUCUUAGGCCUUUCUGUUUGGGUCGAUGGACAAAUCCUGGGCCAUCUUGGCGAAAUCCAUAUUAGAAAAGGAGAAGAAUCUGAAAAGUUCGGAAAAUGAAGUCUCGCCCAAUUACAUGGGGCGAUAGCCACACGCAAAUGGAUGGGCCAAUGAUUUCUCCCAAAGCCCAGAUCUUUAACAAAUCAAACAUCUUUGAAUUGAUUCAUCUUUAACCUACCGCAAUUUGCCCACAACAGUUAUCCAAGAAAACAAAAUAUUUUUCUCAUUGUUUCCGAGCUACUGCAAGCAACGUUCAUUGCCUCAGUAUCUGUUAAAACUUCGUGGAAUUCAGCAAAGUUGCUGCUAGCCUCGUACAGUGGUUUGCAUUGUUUGUUGUAUUUCAACUUGAUCAAUUUCAGCAGACAACCAUAGCGGUCUACUAUUUGUGCCUCUUUUAAAUUGUGCAAGAGAUGCAUAAUAUGGUAAUAACAAUCCUUGAUCUCCAAGACGGCAUCUCAAAAUGGUAGACAAAUAAUGAUCUUUCAAACGAUUGUCCAAAGGGUGUCUCCUAGGCCCUGGAUAACGCACCUUAAUCACACUCGAUUUAUCGUGUGAAUGUAUAUUAAUAAUUAUUCUUGUCUUCGUUUGUAUUUAUACACCUUUUCUAAUUAACUUUAUACACUCAAAUCUUUGGGAUAUGGACCCGUGUCAUUCACAAUCUCCACCGAGGAAACAAAAGGGGCGCUAGCUAAAAUUGACAAUUGAGAACAAUCCAAACCAAGUAUACCAAUUAUAUCCAAGAAUUUCAAAGUUCCUUAAUGCAGAUUAAAAUUAUACAAAUCAAGAAAACAUGAGCUCUAGGAAAAGGGCACAUUUAUUGUAGUAAUCUGUUGAUAAAAGGAGAGAGUCAUAUAGGAUAACUGAAAUCAAUCGGAUCCCUUCAAUUUCUUGGCAAUGCCUGCGAUGUAUUUGCCCUGGUGGAAAGCAAUUUGCAGCUCAAGCUCAGUAGGCUGUCUGGAGCCAUCACCAGCAAAGGUUCCAGCGCCAUAGGGACUGCCACCUUUGACCUUCUCCAUCUCAAACAUUCCAGCUCCAGCAGUGUAGCCAAUAGGAACAAAAAUCAUCCCAUGAUGCACAAGUUGGGUAAUGGCUGUCAAUCUGCAAAUAUUGUCUCAAGAAUCAGUUGAAUCAUCUCUCAUUCGCGUCCAAUGUCUGAAAAAAGAUGCUCUAGAAGUCGAAUUAUUAAUCCAGUUGGUACUUACGGGGUGGUCUCUUGGCCGCCUCCUUGGGAUCCCGUCGAGAAGAACAUACCAGCAGGCUUGCCUGCCAGCUUCUGGGCUCCCCACAAGCUGCCUGUUGCAUCCAUAAAUGCCUUAAAUUGGGCAGCCAUCAUCCCGAAUCUGGUGGGGAAGCCAAAUAUGAAAGCAUCAGCCUCAGGGAGUUCAUGUGGAGUAAUUAUAGGGACAUCGCUCUUUUGGGGAGCACCCAUCUUUCCAAGAAUUUCCGCAGAAAGAGUUUCUGGCACCUGUUACACAUUACAAUAAAACUCACAUCAGCGUGUCUGCCUAACGCUUUGAACUCUAGUUUGACCCAAAUAUGCUGAGAAAAACCAUUAAAAAAAAAAACAAAAACAGAUGUGCAGUCUUGACAUAAUUUCUAAUUUGACUUUGACAAAAUUCUCAAAAUUAAUAGUCAAGUCCAAGAAUCUAAUGACAGUGUUCAGGUAGGACUAUGCACAAACCUCUGAAUUUCCCCUAAUUGAGAAUGUAUACUUUGACAAUAUCAACAGAAGCAUUUAUUGAUAUCGUCUGUGUACGAAGGCUACCAAACAACUAACAUUUAGUCCAUAUGUGUAAUCUGCAGGAGCAAAAUUUGUGCAAAAAGAAGUUGCAUUAAUUUGGACAAUUCCAGUUACGUGUCAAGUACCUGCCACAGUUUUGCCUCCACCCCUUCCACACAAUCAGCUCCCUUCUUGAUCUCAUGGGCAAGUUUCUCAACAUGUCCAUAGGUUGAGUAGUAACUGCAACAAAGAAGAAAACCUUUUAUAGACCGAAAUCUAAUUCAAAGUGGAAAACUUCAGGCUUUUAGAUUUAGAAAACACGAAGCAGCAUGAAUCAAUCCAAUUUUUUUAUUGGUCUUUUGCUAUUGCUUUCUACUAAUCUAGGAACCCAGAAAACAGUCAGAGUGAAAGUCACCAUCAACCAAAAUCUGCAGUUGUGGAUUUACUGUAGAGAUGAUAAAAUCAGAGAGUCAAAUGCACUUGCAACUAUAAAGCACAUAACGAGAUUAUAAUCCAUGGACAACAUUUCGUAACCUUUCCCACAUAUUAACAUUCAAAUCACAACAGCCAAACAUAUCAAUGGACAAGAAUAAUUCUAAGAUUCAGAUGCGGUUCUUUAUGUUCAGGGAUAGACCAAAGUGCAACAAAACAAAAUAAUUGCAGCAAAUCAAAGUUGUAUACAAACAUAUAGCAAUGAGUUUCAAACCAAAAAAAGAUGCAUGAUAUGAUCAGGCCCACAAAACAAGAUAAAGAUAAUAUGAAAUACUGAGAUGAGAAAACUAGCCCCAUCCCGUGAUUCUUUUCAUUUGAAAUGGAAAAGACAUCAACAUAAAGGGACGACGACUGAAACAACCCUGAUACAUCCUAAAAGAAUGUAACGAGUGAGAAAAGCGUACACAAUGUAGACUUUGGUGGCCAUUGGAUCAAGAAACUUUCAGUGGUUGAAGAGAAGGAAAGGCAGCUCUUUUGUUUUAAAGUAUACUGGGAGAUGGAAGAAACGUUGGAAGAUUGCUUAAACAAAAGGGUGAACCCCUGUAUAUAUAGCGGGGAACGAGUUGACCUUUCAAUUCGUCUUUCUUUUUUCUUUUCACUUUUUUAGGUGAGAGAUAAUUAAUUUGUUUGUUACAACAAUACAACUGAAUCGCCUCAGAGCUGUCUCAGAUUAAUUUGAUCUGUCGUUUUUUGAAUUAUUAUUUGUCUCUGUUAAUAAUUAAUGGAGUCUUCGCUUUAUUUCUUUUCCUUUUUUUCUGAUAGAAGCAAAAUAUGGUGGAAUCUGUUGCCUUAAAGAAGUUUAAAAUUUAUGUCCCAUCAUAUUAGUUGUUGGUGAACAUUUUCUCUUUUUUUUUUUUUUUUUUGUCGACACAGAGGUGUCCGGGUCAAUCCUUACGGGUCCGACUAAUCCCCUGCGGCCAAGGGCCGGCGCUCUAACCCGACCCGAACGCGAUAAGUGCGCGGAGGAACCUAGCGGAGCGGAGACUUGAACUUGAGAUCUUAAGGAUCACCGGUGAAAGGCGCUACCGCUGAACCAUUCAUGCGAGGCCGAACAUUUUCUCUUAUCAAUACUAUUGGAAACUUGUGCAGUUAAUACAAUAUCUUCCUUCCUGGACUAAGGGCUCCAUUGGUUGUCAGUAAAAACUGUUUUGAAUGAUCUAAUAUUUUUUGAAUAAAAUGUAAUUUUAUGUAAAUUAUUUAUAAAACUUAACAAUAGAAACACAAUUAUUAUAUAUGAGAUCCACAUAAACAGUAACAAAAUAUCGCACCUAUGUUGUAAGAAUCUUCAAGAAAUUUAUAAAGAGUUGCAAAACGUUUAAAAAAUGUUACACUAUCCAACUUCCUUCCUUAUUCUUCUUUACAUUUCCUUUCAUAUUAGUUUUUUUUAACUAUCUUUUUUUUUAACCUUCCCUACUUCCCCUAUUUCCUUUCUAUCCCAAACUUACCGGUCAGAAUUUGAACCCUAAUCUACAAGGUGGGAGUUUAACUCUUUAGCCACUAGCCCUUUACCAUCCUAUCACAAAGUAACUUGCCCAUUAGAAUUUGAACCCUAAUCUACUAAGUGGGAGUUUAACUCCUUGGCCACUAGCCCUUAACUACUAGUGGUUCCAUGUCAUAUCAGUUGUUGGUAGACAUUUUACUAAAACAAAUUUUGGCAACUUAAGUAAUUGACAAGAUAUUCUCCUUAAGCUUCUUUAUUUUCCUGAUAUUGCAAGGAUAUUGGUUGGACCUAAAAAGUUUUUUAGAUACGAAUCUACCAAUUAAUGGAAAAAAAAUCAACAGUUGCGUAUCUCUCGGACGGGACUGCAAUGAAUUGUAGAUCGUAACACUAGCGCUAAAUGGGUCAACAAAACUUGCCCAAUAUGUGCACUAAAGGCUUGCGUAGAUGACAAGAAUUUUUUUUUUUUUUAGUAAAAAAAAUUGGAUGAGUUCGAUUUUGAUUAUCAUAUCAGGGAUCAGAAUAUGCUCUUAAAGCCAUAGGUUAUUUUAAAGAUGUUCUUAUAGACAACACGAUUUUUUUUUUUUUUUGAAAAAACAAUUCGUUCUUAUCAAUUGAACCAACUUGUAUUGGAAUGCAUAAUGACACGUUCAUUUUCAAUCAGAUGGAUCCUAGUGGAUCCUAAGUAUCCUGCCCAAAAAAAAAAAAAAGAGAUAUAGUAGAGUAAUUUCGGGUCUAUCCCAAGCACAAAUAUUCAUUGUUACCGUCGGUUCAUUGAUGGAGCUGCUUGGACCAUUUCCGUCAUUUUCCAUAAUAAUUAAAUAAACCAAUGGUUGAUGUCACGCUUCUCAUCAUUACCUCGUAAUCUUUGUUUAUACUAUCUGCAAAAUCAUCUGGACGGCUCAGUUGUAUAUCAAUGGCUAGCUUGCAUUUUAGGAAGAACUCGAAGAAGGUGCAGCUGGGAACAAAGAAUAAGAAAAAGUAAAAGUAGCAGUUCUAAGUAACUUUCGUGAUGGCUGUUGGUUUUUGUUUCGAGAGCCUAUCUUGGAUUGGUCCACUACAGUUCCGCCAUCAAUAUUCUAGACUACAUCAUUGACUUGACCACAUUAUCUUCAUGGCUUCUGCGCUAGAAAAGAUGACAGUCCCUGAAUUUUUUUUCCUUCUUUUUAUUAUUUUUUUUAUUUUGUUUGUUAGGUCUUUUUUCUUAAAACCACGCUCAUGGGGAAUGCAUGGGGAACAGCAAAAGGCUUUAAAAAAUUGCCUAGUGAUGAAUCUCAGCACGACACAAUCUGAUUUUAUAUACUCCCUCCAUUUUUUUAUAACUAACGUUUAAGGUUUUGCACACCAAUUAAGAAAAGUUUUUCAUUGUUUAAAUCUAUACACUACUUUCCUUUUGUACCCUCAUUAAUUGUCCAAUUCACUCAUGUUUUCUCUCACUAUAGUAUUAAAUGGUACUGUUUUACUAGGUCAAAAGCAAAUAGAGAAGUAAUAAUUAUUAGGAAUAGUAAUAAAGAGCCUGUAUUGGUAAAGAGAGAUAAAAGGGUAAAAUUGUGAAAAAAUAAUUAAUGCUGCAUGGGGAUAAUACAACGACAGAUAAAAGUACUUAAGAGCAAAUUUCUUAAACGUCAGAUAUAAAAAAAGGGAGGGAGUAUAUAUAUAUAUAUAUAUCUUCUCCCUCGCCAAACAACAAUUCCAUUAACAUGUUUAGGUUUCUAUCUUCUGUCAGACAGAUUUGCAUAGUUUUGCAUGCAUGAACCUGUGAUUAAUUUGCUCCAUCUUAAUAAUACUUCUUGUCUCGUAGCUCGUAAUCAACAACACUAAUACUCCAAAGCGUGAGGCAAAAAAUUGUUGAGAUUCUAGCAAUUAGAUGAAGUCAUGAAGCUGGAUAAAGUUGCAAAUUACUAACAUCUUUUGUGACAAAUCCAAAUACAUGUUCGCUACAUAAAGCUUACGGGUCCGGAAAUUUAAAUGAAAGUAAAAGGAAAACGCCUUAUAUUCCUUGAAUUGGCAACAAUAAUACUCCCUCCCUUUUUUUAUAACUGACACGUUUAAAGUUUUGCACACCAAUUAAGAAAAGUUUUUCAUUGUUUAAAUCUAUACACUACUUUCCUUUUGUACCCUCAUUAAUUGUCCAAUUCACUCAUAUUUUCUCUCACUAGAGUAUUAAAUGGUGCUGUUUUACUAGGCCAAAAGCAAAGAGAGAAGUAAUAAUUACUAGGAGUAGUAAUUAAGAGCCCUGUAUUGGUAAAGAGAGAUAAAAGGGUAAAAUUGUGAAAAAAUAAUUAAUGCUGCAUGGGGAUAAUACAACGACAGAUAAAAGUACUUAAGAGCAAAUUUCUUAAACGUCAGUUAUAAAAAAAAGGAGGGAGUAAUUGAAACAAUACUACUAAUGUGCAGAAUUAGAUUAUUCACCAUGCAAGCAUCAUAUUCCAUGAACAACUGAUCCCAAAAGUUGCAAAUUAUAUAAAGUCGCAUAUAAAAUGGUUACUAAUUAAUGCAACGAGCUUAGGAAAUAAUAAUAGCUUUUAAGCAAGAUCUCGAGUUUAAUCCUGUAAAAAGGAGACACAAAUACCGAGCGAAAUUGCCCUCCUUAUGAGGUCUAACGAACAACGGAGAAUUCUACACCCCAAAAAAAAAAAAAGAAGAGUACAUGAAUGGCUGCGGAGUUGGAAUCCAGCUCUUGUUAAUUUCCUCGAAUCUAAAUCGUAAUAUAAUCGUCACGCCCUCGUCAUUAUUAAAAUAAAGGCCCUCCUCUUUUUUUUUUUUUUUUUGAGGUCAUUAUUAACAAAAGCUUACACCAUCGAUUUCUUCCCAACGCCGUCAAUCCAUAGAAGUUCUGAGAUAAUAGAAGUAAGUGAGCUGGCAGACGAACUGUGGAAUGGUGGAAAUAAUUGACCAGGCAAUAGGCGGCCGGAUGGCGAAUCUUUUCAUUUGCUAAACACUAUCUAUCUGCUUUGCUUUUAUUUUCGACGCCUAAUAAUAAUAGCUUUGUUUGGAUUGGCUUUUAUUUCUCAAAAUUUAUUUGCUUACAUCAUCAUUACAAUUUUCAAUACACUUUUUUACCUUCCCAAUUACCUUUUUAUCUCACAUACAUCACAUCACAAAAAGUGCUACAGUAAAAAUAUCUCUAAUAAUUCACAAUCCAAACAAUAGAGGGAUAAUUCUAUAAACCUCCCCUAAGGUUUCUGAUCUAAUAAUUGCAACUAUUCUUUUGAAAUUGAAAAAUUACACUUACCUCCAUUGGUAUUAUGAAAAGACUACAAUAACUUUGACAACUCUACAAAUUCUAAAUAAAAUUGGGUAUAAAGGCAAAAAAAAAAAAAAAACCUCAUCUUGUAAAUAUUUCUUUAUCCAAUAGCUCUAACCUUAUCUCACCCGAUACAUUAAAUAUUCAAUUCUUAGGUGAUUUUGAAUAAACUCCUUGCUUAGUUUUAUAAAUAGCCGACUAGUAGGGAUGCAUUUGUUGAAAACGGUUUUUUCACAACUUACACUGCAAAAGCAAAAAAGGAAGUCCAAAUGUUAAAAAAAUGAUACCUUGAAACAUGGCCUAAAUUUUUCUACAAAAAACUACCUUAAAAUUUUGUACUUAAUAAGUAAUGCUGGUGUUUGAUUUCUUUUGUCAUUUCAUUUAUUUUGUAAAUCAAAUAGGGGGCAAUAUAGGAUAUUUAUUAAAACUUUUUGUGCUUACGUCACCAUUUUUUACCAAAACAUACUUUCUAAAAGAGGUUUCUAUAAUUUUUUAAAUUACAAGGGAAGUGGUUGCAAUCGUUAGAAAAUCGUUAUAAACCUUAGAGAAGGUUUUUGAAAUUAUUCCAUAUAUAAAUAAUCACAAAAAAUAACAGUAUAAUUUAAGUCUAUGAUUAGUGUCCCCUCGGUCCGUACUCUACAAACUAGGAACUUUCAUAAUUAUAAUCUUCUUGGGAUUCAAAAUUAAACUCCUCGUAUCCGAAGAAUAUGUUUACGAGGCUACCAAAGUCGUUGGAACGCUAGGAGGUGCUUUGCUUGACUUUGCACUGGUUCAAAUCCAGUGCAUCAAGAACUAUAAACCUCUGGGGAUGCUUUACUUGACUUUGCAUUGGCUCAAAUAUAUCCAGUGCAUCAAGAACUAUAUACCUUUCUUUAUUUUUCUUUUUUACUGGUUUUCUAUAUUUUAUCAGCCGAAAAAGUUUAGUUAGAAUAAAGUUGCCGGCUUUAUGGAAUCUUUCAUGUAUAAAAUAUUAGUUCACGAAACAAGAAACAUUUGCUUGAUCUUGAAGCUGCCGUCUGUGAAAUGGUCUGGUCAGCAUAAUCAAAUCUGAUCGGCAUAUUAUGUGAGAGAAGUGUUCAAAUAAAUUUUCCAAUCAGACUUCAAUGUAUCUAAUCAGCAGAUGUAAUGCCAAGCCAAGUUAUAAAGUCAGUGAUUAGACAAGCAAUACGACAUAAUUACGAAUGGCAAGCAACUGGCUUGCCAGAGCUACUAAUUCACAUUUAUCAUUAUCAUUAUCAUUAUUAUUAUUAUUAUUGUGGUUGUUGUUGCUAUUGGUUUCUUGGUGCGGAAAUUGCAGGUCCCUCAGUGACCAGACAAAAGAAAUUUGAUGGAAUCGUGGAAUUACAGAUGAAUAAUUUAUGGACCUUAUAAUUAAAAGCAUAAUAUAUAUAUAUUCAAAGUCGGUCAUUUUUAGUGUCACUGUGGCUGAGGUGCAAUAUGUGGGUAUGGUGUAUGUAUGAAGGAAAAGGAGGACAAGUUUUUCAUUGACGAAUUUCCGGUUUCCUACUAUAAGAGAAGAAGUGAGAAAAGGUUUUUUUAUAUCCAUAUUUUCUUUUAUUAUUACGCUAUCUGCAUUACAUUAUAAAUGUGGAAGUUGGUUGAUGUAGUUAUCCCACUUAAGUCAUUCAUUGAUAAUAUGAUCCAUAACAAUGUUCUAACACUUGGAAAAAGUAUAAACAUGAAGUUCCAAGUGCCUUAGGGUUGGUUAGGUGCACAAUUAUUCAAUUGCAGAUGAAAUCACAGAAGUUAAUUAAAAUUUCGAGUGGUUUGACCAACUAACUACAAUGCAUGCCCCGAUCCAUCACCUCAAAGCAAUUUGUCAUAUUGUGUCAUAUGGACAUGUAGUGACGUCAAUUAAUUAAAUCAUUCAUGCAAGGACACACAUAAUUUUAAUCCAUUUGUAGAGCCUAGUUUUGUUGAUUCCAAAAAAAUGGUGUGCAAUUACUGGAACUUAAGCCUGCAUGAGGGUUUUGAGCUUUGUUCUCUGAUUAAGUUGGUAGAAAGGUUUAUUGAGGUAAAAAGAAAUAUUUUUUUUUUUUUUCCAUAGAUACUGGUUUUACACAAGAAAAGGGCUCAUAUAAACUCUAUCUGUAGGACGUACAAUUUAUGCGAGAUAGCUGUAUGUAAACUAUAGCCCGUAACAGGAUGACCCAUCAACACAAGCAAGUGUCUUGUAUUAAAUCAUUUCAGAGUUACUUUUAAUUUGAAUCCGAUAGCUUUUUCUCUCUAAUUUGUGGUUCAACGUCGCGGUCGUGCAGUAGUCACAUGAUUGUUCCAUAUCUACCGCGACAUAUCAAAUGUAUAUUAUAGUAGAUAAGAGUUAUCAAAUAUUCAAAAAAAAUUUGCGUUGCAAUUUUUUGUCUCACAAAAAAAAUUUUUUGGUUUCAUUUCCAAUUUAAAAUAGCGUGAGUCAGGCGAGUUUCAAUCGAUAUGCAAUUAGUCUGAGUUGACUCGAUUAGUAUUGAUUGAGUUAAAUCGAGUCAUAUCGAACACAAAUCCACUAGUGACUAGAAAUCGGGAUCAGAGUUGAUACAACUCGAGUUAAGUCAAGUCGUAUCAAGUAUCAACUCUGUAGGUACAUAAUAAUACGACUGGAAAAUCAGCUACAACAACUCAGCCAGCAUACGCCACAAAGAAAAUCAGGAUCCGAGUCUGAGCCUAAACACUCGACAAUCGAUGACGACUUUAAUUUUCAGGCAUAAGCACUUGGUUUAACAUGUAGCCUAAGGACAUAAUGGCCCCCGAGUGGAAGGAAGCACGCCAGCAAGACACGUUAAGUAGGAGAAAUGGCUUUUGCUUCAAAAAUGCCCUUAAAAACGUGGCCCUUCCCAUCAUAAUUUCUGAAGCAUUAGGGUUAGAAGGUAUUAGAUUUACAAAGCAUAUGGAGUGUAUCCUUUUUCGCUUUUAUGGUAGAGUUUCACCCUCCCAUCAUAAUUAUUGCCUUGUAGUUGCCUUUUGGGAGCAUAGCGCUAUGAAUAUGUGGUGGGCUUUCUGCUCGUGUUGAGCCACUGCUGAAUCCUCCAAUAAUUGCAAAGGAAAUGUAGCUCUCCCUUCGAAUGCUAACGGCAAAAUAUUCCAUUUUCCAACUAUCUAGAGGACCCUGGUUGCAUGCCUUCUUACUUCUGUCCCCCCCCCCCCCCCCCCCUUUUUUUUUGACUAAUUUCUUCCCUCCCUUUUCUUCUACUCCUUUUGCUUUAUCUUUCCUUUCUUUUUUUUUUUUUUUUCUUUUCUAUGGGCGUUCGUUUUGUUCUUUUCCUAUUUUGUCUUAUGGAGCUCACAAUUACGGGGAAGCACGAGACUACACAAGACAAGAUUCGGGCUUCAUGAGGUAGGUAAGGUCCAUUUUGUCCUAAACAUGUAGAAAUAGGCCAUUACAUACAUAUUCAUCAAUCCCCAUUCGAGCUUUGCAAAAACGGUAGCCCAAUGAUUUUGAGAAACGAAGAAUACGUUACGGAUGAUUUCUUGUGCUCUUGGGCUGGUAGUAUUUGUCGUUGUCACAAGAAAAGUUUAUUUUUGGAUUGUAUUUUUCAUAAUUUUUUAUGAAAAAUAUACUAUAAUAAUUUGAUAUAUGUGAGAAAAAAAGAUAAUAGAAAAAUGUAAUUACGAAAAACGACGUAAUUUUUCGACGAAAAACAACAAUUCAAACAAGGCCUUAUUUUGGGAUAAAAUUUUCGUUAGGGGAAAAAUUGAUUAAAUUUUACUUUUAAGUUUUAUUUAUUCCAACAGAUGAGUCUUGAUCCAAUCGUGUAUCGGUAAGAUUUUCCAUUACAGCCUCCCUGUGCUGUUCAAAUGCAGGGACUCAAAGUCCGAUUUUUUUUUUUUAAGGUUUUUCAAAUCCCAGGACAAAAUAACACAUAAUGUAAACUAGAUUUGCAUGCCUGGUUGUUUGCGAAAAGUGACCAAAUUCUAGUAACUUUUUUUUUUUUCUGUGAUUUUUAUUGCCGGACAACACCUCCAUUACAUGUGUUGGCCGGCAGUCACAACUCGUACUUCAAAAUAUAGUACACAAAAAGAUAUUAAAUCCAAGUCAACCCUGCGUUACCAUAGCAAGCGUGCAUUUCUACAGAUCUACUGACAACAGAUCUAUAUAAAAAUAAAAAUUGGCUGAUGAUGUCUUGAUUCAGACAAUCAAAUCCCUGCAAACAGACUUUCUUAACCAGGAUAUAAGAGAUUUAUGAUCCACUUUCGUUGCUGACCUCCAACAAACAUUUUGUAUAUGUGUAGGUACAUGUUGUUUUAGAGGACAAGUAUCCUCUUCAUUUCAUUUAGGGGACAUAGGAAGGAAGGAUCCUCCCCUUAAAACCUUCCAUUCACCCCUUAGAUGAUGAUGACACCCCAUCAGUCACCUGUCUACCCUUGUUGCAAAUAAUUCAUAAUGAGCAGCACUUUUGCCAAACCAUCGUUCCACUUAAGCUUUUACAUGGCUCUGUCACUUAACAAUGGUCUAAUGAAAUAAUUUAUCAGCACCUUGAUUUGAUGUCUACUCCACAACAUCACAUCUAGAAAACCAUAUACAGUUCGAAGUGGAUAACAUCUAGCCUUCUAUUGUUGUAUAGAAAAUGGCGAGAUGUCAUAUUGUCAUGUCACUCACUAGAAUAGGUAAACAGAGAAUCCUCCAUUUACCCCCUAAACGGAGGGGAACUCUGUCCUCUUUUAGUUAAAGAGAAUAAACCAGCAGUGCCACUCGCUGAAAAGGUGUAUAGAAAAUCCUACAUUUACCCCCACAGACGAAAAGGAUGUAUAUCAUCUUCAAGUAAAGAAAAUCAGGGAAAGAAUCAACCAUGAUCUCACCUAUUAAGCUUAUACAAUGAAACAGCAGAUACAGAAUCUGAUCACCUAGAUCACAAAUCCAUGCUUCCUUUUCCAAUAUGCUAUCAUCACACAGAUCAAAGUUUACUAGUAAACCAACGUCACAUCAUCAAUCGGAAAACCAGCAACAUGAAAGCAAUUGUCACUGGUACAAGAAACGGCUAAUGAAAAUUGUUUGAACAGAGCGUCAUCACCUCUAUCAAGGCAAAAAUGAAAUUGCAGAUGCCAAAAAGCCGAGGGGAGAAGAUACCAGAUCAGGUUAGGACUACAAAAAUAAGCAAGGAUGAUACGACAAAGUAGCAUACCAAAGAGAAGUUCCCGCCAAAAAAAAAGAAAAAGAAACGUAAUACAAUGAAAGAAAGCAGUACAAGACAACAUAAGGAGCAUUUUUACACAACUUCAAUUCAGUUCUCUUGGAAGCUGACCACUGUAGAUGAGUACAAUAAGUGAAAAUCGAAAUGUGACCUGUAAUUCUCCACUAAAAUACAGGACGAGGUCUCCUAACCUCUAUUAACAAUAGAAUAUUGAAAGAGUAAGCAAUAAUUUUUUAAGAGCUCUAGUGGACAUUUUCAAAUUAAUUGGUCAUAUCAAGGAUUCCCCCGUGAACAAAAUAUCUUAUACCGAUUAGAUUAAUCCCUGAACUCUUAAAGGCUCGAUAGAAAACAAAUACAGCUACACCGUCUACAAGGCAAAACUCUGAGCUUUAAGGUGGGAUUGUCUUGAUGCCAAGAUAUUGCCUGACCUAACUAGUGACCGUAAACUUCCUAGAAAGUAGUCGAUAUCCAUCCUAUUAUAUUGUCCAAAUCUAGUUGAUUCCUUUAUUUAGGACCCAAUCAGAGCUAAUGCUAGUAAACAUGACCAAACAUUCAAAACCAGCAGAAUAGGUUAGUAAAUGCUCUGUACCAACAGGCAUUGGCAAUACAUUCGACUAGAGAUAGACCCCUCGUGCUUAUUCUUGGAAGCUUCAUUCUUGUUUUACCAAUCCAAUGAAGAAGUAAUAAAGCUGCCUACCAUUAUUCGUCACAUUGCUUUCCACAUUUUUUUCCCCUAACUAAGCAACAUUUAAUGAAUGACACGUAAUUUCAGCAAUAAAAUGGCAGUGACAACCCCAACACUGAAAAAAUAGGGAGCAAGAACUGAGAAGCAAACGAGGGAUUUACAAACCCAAAUAUAAUCCCCUUGUCAAACAACACCAAUAAUCACAAGUCAUCAAUUUUUAGCAACUUUUCUAAGUUGCUUAGAAAAAAGAGGCUACCAUCGUAAUUUCAAUCCAGUUCAAAUUUUCAUAUAACGACGAGAGAGCCCUAGGAUUGCACUAAACCAAUUCAAUCAGUAUCUAUAUACAUUCAACAAUAAAGUCAAAUUCAGGCACUGAAAUAGUCUUAAACUCCGUUACAAAAUGAUGGGACCAUGAGUGGCACAAAUGUCUCCACUCUACUAACUUGUCAAGGCAUGCACAUACUGGUACCAACACAAGUUGAAGGAAGAAUAAUUUUCGACUAACAGCCAAAGAGAAAGGAACCAUCCAUGAAUUUCCAAUAUCAGAGCUAAAAGAAAAUACAAGGAAAAUUGGAUACCAUCCUUUUUAUUGGAAAAAUAUACAACAAAAGAACAAGAUUUUCAAGGAAAAACCUAAAUCUUUUGUACAAAUAAGGAAAAAGAAACAAACAGUAGUAUCGACCAAAAAUAGUAAACCUAGACAAAUUAGCCAGCCCGACCCGACCGUCCACCCACCCAAAACAACCCAACCACCUCCCCCUCCCCAAAAGGAAGAAAGAAAAAAGAAGUGUGACUAACCUCUAAUAGAAACUUGAAUUUUCCCAAAUUCAUCAUAGUUACCCACCAUAUCAUAAUCACCAAAAAACUUCACGUUUCACCUCCAACCCCUAAAAAGUAAAUUGGACUUUCCAAUUCAGCUAAGAUUUCUUCUAUUCUUCCCUUGCAGUACUUGGAUCAAAUUUUUUGCAUUUCUUCUCACCUUCUCAUUAUCAUCUUCCAACAACCCCAAACAAAUCUCAAAAAUGCCUUCUCUUAAAACUUCCAAACACAUUCUUUCACUACAACUACACAACAAAUUUAUAGUCAAAAGCCCAUAUUGUACCCCUCUUGAACUCCCAUUUUUCAAUACAAAAAUCAAAAUUUCCAAAAACCCAUCAUAGUCUAGCAUUUCUUUUCUGCCCUCUGCACAUUUUGCCAGCAAGCCCAAAACUUCCACGGCCCGCUCUAGUCCCGAACUCGCAUUUUGGAUUAGUAUCGGAACGGCCCGAUUCUCCACGGCCCGAACCCGAUUAUCAGCGAAGGAGCAGAGGGUGAACAGAGCUGUGGCGGCCUCUUUUCUCUCCCUUCCAUUCCCGGCCCGGAGAAGCCCGACUAGGCCCGAAAUGGCUUUCGGGUACGCCCCGAUUGUGGCCUUGUUGACUUCCACCACCGCGAGGCUGGUCAACACCGUAGCUGCCACAGCACGGGAGUCACCGUAGCCAGAGCGAACAGCGGCGACUAAUUUUCCGACAACCCCUUCGGCGACGAGCCCGACUUUGUUAUCGUCAUCCAAGCUCAAGUUAAGCAGCAAAUGGAGGGCUUUUGCUUGGAGCGAGGUGUCGUCGGCGUUGACGCAGUUCAAAACAGCUGACACAGCUCCGGACUCAGUCAGUCGGCGGCGAAUUGAGGAAUCCCGUUUACAGAGGCGACCCAGCUGGUCGAGCGAGUCGAGCUUGCAGACCAGAUGAGAAGAAACGGAGACGAUGGUUUGGAUUAAGGAAUUCGGGUCCGGGUUGGCAUGGGGUUGGGGGAGAGGGACGAGGGUAUAACUGGAAAUUAAGCUCCGAAGGGCGUGGUUGGGGAUGAGGGAAGGUGGCUCGGAGAGGGGUAGUUUAGUAAUCGGACAUGUACGAUGGCCGGCGUCAAGCCACCGUUGGAUUGAGGAGCGAUCAAAGGUAUGGCCCGAUGAGAGAAUAACCGGGUCAGACAUUAUCUCGAGGGAAAUGGGGCAUUUAAAGUCGUCCGGAAACUGGGUUGCCAUUUUUCUUUGCUCUCAAAUCUUUUACCACCCCUCCCUCUCUCACCCAAUCACUCAGUCUGCAUAUAUCUGCGGUGUUUUCGAGUGUAAAUGGUGCGUGUACUGUGUGUACUAUGUGACACGGUGUGUGUGGAGGUGAGAGAGAGGGUUUAUGAGGUUUAGUUCUAAGCUGGGGAAGUGCGAGUGCGACGCAAGUGAGGAUUAAUAUGAGGUUGAGAAGUUUGAGUUUGGGACACUGUCAUAUGUUGCAAGAUGACAAUCUUGCCCCUCAUGAGAAUGACAUUUGAAAAAAAAAAGUUUUUCUUUUUUGGUCGACACGCUCGUUGAGUGUGUUUGGAUAGGAGAUUAUAUAUUUUACCAUUUGUGAUGUGAGAGCAAGCAAGUGGUUUUAUAAAAAGAGAAUUCUACUUGAAUGAAAAUACAACUUAUAGGGCAGUCACCAAAAAAAAAAAAAAAAAAUUGGUUAGCUUUCUAAUUUUAAGAGUACUUGUGUUUGUGUCUAUCAUUCAGAUAUAUCUAGCUUUUUAAAGUUGUUGUUUAGUAUAGAUGAAUUAUUUGAUAAAAGAUUUUAGUAGCAUGCUAGAUAUUCUAUUAGUUAUGAGUUCUUAUAUUUGUAUCUAUCAUUUAAAUAUAUCAAGUUUUUAAAGUUGUUUAGUAUAGAUGAACUCUUUGAUAAAAGAUUUUAGUAGGACGGUAGAUAUUCUAAUAGUUAUAGACAUAUAUAAAACUUCUUUAACUAUUAUUUGUAUUGCUUGACAUUUUAAAUACUCAUGAAAUUGUCUAAAAAGCGGGAUUUAAAAUAUAAACACAACAAACAACGAUGAGAUAUAGGAUAAUAAUAGAGUUUAGAAAAUUAGUGAUCUAAGAAUAAUGUGUAACUUUAAAAUUCAAAAAAAAAUAAUAAUGUUUAAAUUAAUUCAAAAAUGUGAUUUUAAAAAAAAUUAUUUUCCCUUGUAGGGUCACGAAUAACUACCUACAUAAAUUAGGCCAAUAGAUGCUAAACCACAAUUAAUUCAACAUCCUACCUGCCUAGCUUAAAUUAAGGGUAGAAGAGUUUUUUUUAUGUUUUUGUUUAAGUAGGACUUCAAACCUCUCAAGGGGAUAGGGAGAGAGAGUGUGUGUCGGAGUUGAAUCAAAAAAUCUCAUUUUUCAUUUGAUUGAUGUCUUUACUAUUUAAUUGAGUGCUAAGAUAGAGCUUGAAUUGCCAAGUUUUAGAGUUCCUGUGCGUUAUAUCAACGUAAUAUAUGUAAGAUAAAACAGUAAUUAAAAAAUACGUCGAAAGAAUUUUUCAAAAAAAAAAAAACUGAGAGUCCAAAUAAGGAUAAAACUUUCAUUCUAAAGACAUUUAGAUUUGAAAUAUAUGGACCAAACCUUUUACGCAUGCCAGUCAAAUGAAGUAUUCUCAUAUUUGAUUGGGAUUAUUUAAAUUAAACCCUCCUAGUGCACAUAUAAAAUAAACCAAUGCCUGCCAAACAAUGGCAUGGAAUUCAAAGGUGAGAAUGGAAGUUGCUUAACUAACUAGCCAAGAUAGGUGGUUGUUAUACUUGUUAAGUUUGAAGAACAGAUAACUAAAAAAGUAAACAACCAUCAUAAUAUUACCAAUUAGAGGAGACAUUUGAUAUGAUAUAAAAGAAAAGUCGACGACUGAAGGAGAUCAGAAUAAAGGUAAAGCUAUCAAUAUAAUUAAUGUUUAAAAUGGGGUACUUUGGAAACAUCAAAUAAGUACUAAGUUGAAGAGUUCAACGUAAUACUACUACCAUUCACAAUUGACUAAGAAAAGUUAUUAACUAAAACUUGACAAAGGAAAAGCUUGACGAGAAGUUUGAAACUGUAGUUUAUAUUGCAACAACAUGUAUUUUUUUUAAAUAUAUACUACUGCAUUAUAAAUCAAGAAGGAAAAAAGAAAAGGAAAGAGCUGCAAAGGCGAGUCUUUUUCUUUCUCUUUCUUUUUCUAUUAUAUUAGCAUGAUGUUUUCGAUAGACUUAGGGGCGCUUGGUUCAAACUUAGGAAUUGGAAUUGGAAUUGUAAUUGGAAUCAUACAAAAAAAACUUAGUAUGGGUUUUGGUUUUGGACAAAAAUAUGAUUACAAAUGAGGGUGCUUGGUAAAUAUUGGUAAGGAAUGAGUAUCAAAUUUAAUAAUCAAUUUUUUACCUUUAAUUUUUUUUUUCUUUUCAUAUCUUUCUUCUUUCUCAUUCAAAUGCUUAUCCCACAUACCCAUCCACCAUAUAAAUAUAAAUAUAUAUAUAUAUAUUCAUAUAUAAAUAUAAAUAUAAAUAUUUUGUUUAAAAUAUAUUUAUUUAUAUGUAUUUAUAUAAAUUUAUAAAUAUGUUUAUUUCAAUUUUGUUUUAUAAUAUGUAUAUUAAUAUAUAUUAAUAUGUAUAUUUCAAUUAUGUAUAUUAAUAUGUAUAUUAUAUAUAUUAUAUCAAUUGAAAUAAAUAUUAUAUAUUUAUAUAUAAAUAUUUUUGUUUAAAAUAUAUUUAUAUAUAUUUAUAUUUAUAUUUAUAUUUAUAUAUUUAUUUAUAAAUAUAUAAAUAAAUAUAUAAAUAUAUUUAUUUCAUUUUAUUUUAUAAUAUGUAUAUUAACAUAUAUUAAUAUGUAUAUUUCAAUUAAUAAUUAUAAUUUAUUAUAUAUAAAAAUUAUAUUCAUAUUAAUAUGUAUAUUAAUAUUAAUGUGUAUGUUAUAUAUAUAUUAUAUCAAUUGAAAUAAAUAUAUAUUUAUAUAUAAAUAUUAAUAUUUUGUUUCAAAUAUAUUUAUAUAAAUUUAUAUAUAUAUUUAUAUAAACAUAUAAAUAUAUAUUUCAAAUUUGUUUUAUAAUAUGUAUAUUAAUAUAUGUUAAUAUAUAUUUAUAAAUUAUAUUUAUAUUAUAUAUAUAUAUAUUAAUAUACAUAUUCUAAAACAAAUUUGAAAUAAAAAAUAUUAUAUAUAUAAAUAAAUAAAUAUUAAUAUAUAGAAACAGAGCUAGUAUAUAUUUUUAGAAAAAUCCCAAAAAUAAUUUUUUUUAAAAAAAAAAAUUUUGGAAUCAAAUGUGGGAUUCAUCAAAACCCUCCAAUCUAGUUGGGGAUUGAGAGUGACUGAUUUUUCAUGAUUCAUUCCAAGAUUUCAAAACCCAUACCCAUUAGCGAAGCAAUAAUUCUGGGGCUCAAUCUAAUUCUUGAUUCCUAUACCCUCCAACCAAGCACCCCUUAAUAGUUUUGGAAAUAGUGGGGUCCUUUUCUUGCAGGGGUAAUUUUGUAAAAGGAUUCACUUUCUUAACUUUUUCAUCAAUGCCAACAAAAGCCAGAUUUUGUGGAUAGGAUUGCAUAAGGAUAAUUCUGGAAGUAAGCUUAAAUUUCUUCCGUUUUAAACUUGGUACCAAGAGCUGUUGCGGUUACUGAAAUUACAAGAAUAGCCUUAUAGUGUCAGAAGAAACCUUGGCCGGUCACGACUCCAGCGUUCACUUGGAAAAUGACAUGGAAAUUUCUCAAAACAUAAGUACUGGAUGAGCUAUGAGGGUGUUUCUCAACCUUUUUAGUAUUUUGAUAUUUUUGGACCAUUUUCAGCUUCGACCAAUUUCCCACCACUCAAUAAGUUAGUUGAAAAAUAAGAUUCAAUUUCUUUUUUCAAAAAUAUGUUAGUUUUUAACUCUCAUUUUUUAAAUAUUUUUGUUCCUUAUUUCCUUUUCCAUUAAAGUAGGCAUAGUAAUUAUGGAAAUCAAGAGAGAGAGGACAGUUAACUAUUAUACGAAGACUAAAACAAAAAAAAAAAAAGAAAAAGAAAAACUCCAAUCGUUGUUGAGUUCAGCUAUAUUCAAAAUUAUAUUGUUUACUUUUUGCAGUAUAUCUUUCUCUUCUCCUGCUCCUUUGAGAAGUGGGUUAGGGAUGAAACAAACACAAUAAUAUGUUUGUCACGUUAGGAAAAAGGAUACAGUUAACUCUCAUAAUUUUUCUUAAAAUAAAAAAAAAUUUAAGUGAAAGGUUUUGAAUUCAAAACUCUUAUUUAUAAUUUCUUUUCUCUUACCAUCCAAUCCAAUCCUUCUCCGGUUAACUCACAUCUUGGUGAAUAUUGACUCCUUGCUUAAUCAUCUUCUAUUCCUUUAAAAGAAGAUUCCUAUUUUCUUUUUUCUCCUAGAAAAAGAAAAGGAACUACUUUUUCACGCUGAGAUGAUCUGAACAAAAGUGUUCAGACAAUUCAAAAUUUCACUGUCCAUUCGCCCACGUAUGUGAUCACUCUUACGUAAAUAUCAAUUUUAUCCUUUGAGAAUAUAAUUGAUGCUGCACUUUUGGAUAUUCGUUCCUUUGCUCACAGCGCUAAUAUCUUUGACUUUUGGGAGUAUUAGUACUAGUUUGCACUGUCAAAAAAGGGAUAAUUUCUUGUACCUCCUCUAAGGUUUGUCAUAAUUACAAAGACCUCCUUUCAGGCUUGGAAAAGGAGCAGAGUGAUACUGGUGAAGACAGAAAAUUGAGAGAGAACUUGGAGUAAAGUGAUGGUGAUGGUGGGAAAAUUAUAAGAAAAGAUUGAAAAAGGAGGGCUAGGUAAUCGUGGUUAUAGAGAGAGUUGAGAGGAUACAAAUUGGGAAAAAAGGGCAGGCAAAAAAGGUAUUGGUGGCAAGGAUGAAGAUGAAAAGUGACUCUUUUUCUUCAAGUAUUUUUGGUUUAAGUAUUAUGUCAAGGACUCAAGGUAUUGUAGCCAUUUUGUAUUCGUAUGGAAAGUAAGUGGUAUUUCUCAAACUUGAGGGGAAGACUCUUGUAAUUAUGAUAAAUCUUAAGGAAGGUAUGUGGAAUUUAUCCUGUCUGAAGAAUAAUACCCUUUAGGCAGUUAAAAUUAGCCCUAAACUACCUUAUGCGCCUAGUUUCCAAGCUUAAUCAACCAUCCUACCCAUGCACAUGCAAUUUUCCUCCAAAAAAAAAAAAAAAAAAACUAUCUUGUUUGAAUUGCAAUUUUUCUUCAAAAAAAUUUUACAUGUUAGGUGAACAUAUUUUUCAAUCAUCUCUUCACCUCGUAUACGUCAAAUCGUUACAAGAUAUUUUUCAAUAAAAACUGUAAAAAAUAGCAAUCCAUCUAACCAACAAAUCUUGAUAAACCACUCCUACAAUUGCAGAAUUUCUGCCCUUAUUCCAUGUUAAACCUUCAAAUUGGACAAAGCGCAUGCUUGGUAGGUGCUAUUUUUGCAUAGAUUUUGCUACAACAAGCUUUUGCCACUUUUUGAUUGUGUUUUAUUGAGAAAAAUUCUGAAUGCGCCAAGCUUUGACAAGCUUUUCUUUGACAGAUAUCUAUAUCUAUAUCUAUAUCUAUAUAUAUAAAAAAAAAACAGUAAAAAGAUUCUUCGUCUUUCUUCGUAUCUAACCACAAGCAUGGAAGACCAUCAGGCCAUGAAUGGCUUUAACAGUAGUAUAACUACCCUGCCAGCGACCCAAAAUCCUUUUUUUUUUCCCCGAAAGGAAAAGGUGAUAAAUUUAUUCGCACAUCUGUGGAUUAACUUCUACAAUAAGAACGGAUAUGCAGAUAAAGUGACUCCAGUGAAAGAAAGCUACCUAAAAGCCAAAUUUAUAAUUUCUAGGUGACUUUUAUUGUAUCUUACUUCUUCCUUUGACUAUCAUUUUAGGCAAUUACAAGGCAAUAUAGAAUACGAUAAUUCAGUGGUUUGAUGCCAAUCUAUCGUUAAGUAAGUCAAAGUUCAAGAUUUCCACUCCAUUAGUAAUUAUAAAAAAUAAAUACUGUCAUUAUCUUUUGAAAUGUUAAAUAUGUUUGCCAAAACGGAAGUUAAAAAUCACACUCAAGUAAAAUUUUACUCGAUGUCUACAACAAUAAAAUACUUUUAAACUUAGGCUCCAUUUGAGUUUGUGGUGCUUUUGUUAAAAAAAUAUAUAUAUAUUUUUGGAGUAGAAGAGCACUUUUAAUGUGCAUUGUAAACGUAAUUUCUUGGAUUUAAUAGCGAAACUUUCCUUUAUUAAAGCACUUUUAGCAAAAGUUCACAAAAUGAUGCUUUUAGAGCAACUUUCAUAUUUAAAAAAAAAAUAAAAUACUAACUUUAAAAAAUUUAUUGUAAAAUUUGAACUGAAUGAAGAGAUACAUGUGUUUUAGAAAUUCAAAAGUGCAUAUUAUCAAAUAAAAAAAAGUACUCAUGCAAGUAUGCAUCCGAACAAUAUGAUUAAAUAUUUUAUAAGUACUUUAAUUGAAAACUCUGAUAAUUUAAGCACUUUUUUGAUGCGUUCUUUGGAGCUUAAGUUUCCAUUUGAUAUGGUACUCAUGCUAAAGAGGAUUUUUAAAAGGGAUACUUGAUCCUAGUUACUUCAAAACCUCGAUUCGUUCUAGAAGGGAAUCGCAUUUUUUCUAGCUUUAGAGGGCAAGAAAUAGAAAAAGUAAAAUAUAAUCAAGCAGAGGGAAGAAAUGGAUUUGAUAAUGUAAAGUACAGGGGAUAAAAGUAGAGAGUCUCGAAUUCGAAACCUUCCUCCCCUAAUAAGAAGGAAAUGUAGUAUAAUGAAGGAGGUUGAGUAUCUGACAAGUGUUAGAAAAGUGAGCAACUGAAUUUAUUAAAGAAAAGUGGAAAAGUAAUGCCACGGCAUUUAUGAGUCGGACCGGUGAGUGAGUUUCAUUCAUCCUCAAAACCAAUCUCAGCUCCAUUUAAAGUCACGCUAACGCGUCUUAACCACACCGGUUUGACUUUUAGUUGAUGGGGUCACAGAAAUGUCGGAGAAAGCGAGAGAGAGAUGCCAGUGACGCGGUAGAAGACAUCAAAAACCACGAGCUUCGUUCAUGAUUCAGCCCCUCUAUUAUUUGACUAGGAAAGCUCAAGUAAUGGACGAGGCUCUUGCGGCUUUGAAGCUCAAUAGUAGUACAAGUUACUGCAUUCGAAUCUCUUCUAGCGACGCUCGAGAUCAAAUAUGGCUUUGUUUGGAUUAUAUUUUUAAAAAAAUUUUUUUAUAAAAAAAUUAUUAUAACGAUUUGAUAUAUAUGAAAUCAAAAGGUGAUUAAAAAUAUAUAUUUAUGAAAAAUGUAAUAAUUAUUAUUAUUUUUAAAAAAUUGCAAUCUAAACAAUGCCUAUCCAAACUCAACUUCAUUUUAGUAUUCUAGAAACUUCAUAACAAAAUUAGAGGAACUUGAAUCAAACAAGUUUUUGUUGAAUGAGGUGCAAAUCAUCAAGUUCUAAGUUGAGUGUAAAUUGGUUCUCAAACAGAGGGGCACCAUCAAAUGAAUACUGCAAGGGCCUAGUUAGCUUUUAAGUAAGCCAGCGUUAUCCACUAUGUACCUUAUGAAUUUUCUCAUGGCGAAUAUCCAACUUAUAACGUGGUGCACUCUUUUUUUUUUUAAUAUAAAUAAAAGGUUUCGAAUUCAGAAACUAUCGUCUAUGCUAACUCGUAUAUUAAACUUUUUUAAUUAGAAUUCGAGAGAUUUUACCCUUUCUUUUUUGGAAGGAUUUUUUUUCGGUGGUGGGCCCGAUGAAGGGCGCAGGUGUUUUUUUUUUUUUUUUUUUAAGGGGGUGGUGGUGGUGGUGGUUAUUGACGGGAAUAAUGGAAUAUACCAUAGUCGCAUGACUGGACGGAGAUGGGCUCUUCGUCUAAUAGAGGUUGGGUCAUUUUCUUGGUCUCUAUUGUCCGCAGUAGGGCCACAGCCAAUCAAUGAAUUGCCCCAUCCGAGGGAAAUUAUCCUGCGGCUGAAGGGAGGCCGAAAAGUCUUAACGUUUAUGGUCAAUUACAGUUUGCACCCUUAAACUAUGGGGCUCACUUCCACCUUACCCCACCUAGAUGCAAACUGGAGACACUACUAUACUAUGAUUUCAAGCUAGGGCAAAAAAAAAAAAAAAAAAUUCUUAGUGAGAACAUUUUUGUUUGAAAGCUAGCAGCAAAAGACUAAAUAGCCCUUAUGUGUUUAAUGACCAAUAUACCAUUUGAAUUCCCUUUUUCAAACUUUAUUCAUUAUUGAUGGAGAUGUCAUGUUAUAUGAAUGUAGGCCUGUUAACGGGUCGGGUCUAGACCCGGAUCCGGACCGGAUCAGUGAAAUUAUUACGGGUAUGGGUAGGGAUUUAAUUCCGUUUCCCGGAUCCGGAUUCGGAUCCGUUUUGUCAAACAAAAAAACGGGUCGGAUACGGAAUAUAGUAUUCCGACCCGUAUUAGACCCGGAUCCGGAUAUAAAUGAAUUAAUAAUUUAAAAAAUAUAUAUUUAUCAAUAUAAUUUGAUUAGGGUGAUGUAUUUUAAUAAAAUUAAUUUGAUUUCUUUUCUUAUUUGAUUUUUUCUUUGCAUUAGUUAGAAAUCAGUUUACAAAUAUAUUUUUUUCUCAUUUUUAUUAGAAAUUAUAAAAUUUGGUAAAUUUGUUCGGGUAGACCCGGAUCCGGAUCCGGGACCCGCCGGAUCCGGAUCCGGAACAUAGAAUAAAAGACCCGUCGGGUAAACGGGGUCGGAUCCGGAUCCGGCAUAGUAAUUCGGGUCCGGGUUCGGAAUAAUGAAUUUCGGCCCGGACCCGGCCCGUUGACAGUCCUAUAUGAAUGUGUCUACCUAAUUCAAAAAAACAAAAUCCUCAAACCAUGUUUGAUAACUAAUAUAGUUAUGUUCUUUAGGCUGUUUAAAGGAUCAAAUGCCCUUAGCGUGGACCAGUAAUAUGAACAAGGGGCCAUAAGUAGAUAGAUGAAUGAAAGGGGACGGAACAAUAAAAUGAACGUAACUUGAGAAAACUCAAAUCCCCUUCACCCAAAAUGGAAUAGCUGACAAAUCCUAGCGAUAAAAAAAGAAAAAGGGAAAAAAAAAAAAAGAGAAGAGAACAUUUUGACCAUACAUUUUAUUUCGGGCUUUAAUGUAGAAAAAACCUUGCGAACUACAAGGAUGUACGUUCGACAAGUAUGUUGGAAACACUAAUUAUUAUGCUAACAAGAUACAUCAUGAAAAUCAACCUUCUUAAAACUUGAAAAUCUUUUCAAUAAUUAAAAAAACAAAAAACUUGCAUAAACCAAUUUCUUUUAGAUCACAAGUUUCAAUUUACUCAAACCAGCGAUUCACUAGCUAUCCUUAAUCUAGACUCUCUGGUUAAAGAGAAAGGUCAAAUUUUGGAUAGAUCCGAUUUUCAAAGAUUCAAUGAUCCAAAUUGUGUCACACUACUUGAUGAGAAUGCAUGGCACAAUUUGGAUAAUUAAAUCUUUGAAAAUCGGAUCUAUUUAGAUAUGAACAAAAGAGAAUACGUGAUUGCUUAAAAGGUUCUAUACAUUACAAAUUUUAUUUAUAAAAAAAAAAAAAUCAUCUCUCAGCAUAGUUUUACACUUGAAGUCAAUCGUAACUUUUUUUUUUUUCAGUAGGUAAUCUAGGGUGGCAUAUGGUCCAGAGCAAAAUUAUGGCGUUGGUCAAUGGUUUCUCCAUGCUAGAAACAUUCACGAAAAGUAAGCAAGAAAAAGCAGGAAUAUCAAUCAUGUUAGGCGCAAGCUUUAUGGCUUUAACGGGCAUGGAGACAUGACAUGGUGUUGAACAAGGAAUCCAUCAUCUUCACUUCUCCACUCGUCUAAUCUUUCAAUCAAUUACCAAUCCUUCCUCAGCAGUCGGACAAUUUCCAAACAUAAAAGCAAAAGAAAGAAAAAGUGCUCAAAAGGAGCAAUCAUCGCAUCAAAUCUGUGGAAAGGCUUCUUCUAGCAAUCUUCCAGCACCACCCGUUAGCUCAGGACUCAACCUGAACAUCAACAUGCAAAACUCCAGCUGGUUAAGUGCACCAUCACCGUCCAAAUCUCCCUCUUUAAUCAUGCUUUUGAUCUCCUCGUCCUGGAAAUCUUGCAAUCCAAGAAGAGCAGAUUUUUUCUUGAGGCUGUCAAAGGUGAUCAAGCCCUUUUUACCGUCCAUGAGCAGCUGAAAUCCAUUACAUAGCUCUUUGAUCAAUCCCUCACCUCCUAGCUUAUCGGCCAUAGUAGGCAACAGAUCUUCAAAAUGAAUUGUCGUUGGACUUCUAGCAUCCAUCGGAAUUAUGUUAAAAGCUCCAAUAUCAAACAAGCAAACGAUUCAUGGGGCAAUGGAAACUAGAAAAGUGUGGGUAUUAAUAGUGCUGAAACUCUUUGGUUAAUUACAAGGAAAAUUACGUAAGGCUAUAAAUAUUAACAGGUCCAAGAUGCCAGCGUCCAUGGUUACGAGGAAAAUUACAUAAAUUAUAUAAGGGCCACAGAUGGACCAGAAAGAUGUUUAUGAACCAGUCCACGAAGCCCACUCAUGACUGGGUCAUAACAGAAACAGGUUGUCCACUGACAAUGAUUCCCCAGCUGCAAGGUGUUUUCUUCCACCAGCCCAAAAGCUUAUGCACCCUGACGAAGUAGGUAGAAAUUAGAAACCACCAAGCAGCAGCACAGAACCUAUAGGGCAGGAACGGUGCUGACUGUUUAAGAGCACCGUUCUAGCAUAGGGAAACCAUUGACCAACGCCAUAAUUUUGCUCUGGACCAUAUGCCACCCUAGAUUUCCCACUUAAAAAAAAAAAAAAUACGAUUGAUUUCAAGUGUAAAACUAUGCUGAGAGAAUUUUUUUUUUAAAAGUAAAAUUUGCAAUGUGUAGAACCUUUUAAGCAAUCAAGUUUUCUCUUUUGUUCACAUCUAAAUAGAUCAGAUUUUCAAAGAUUCAAUGGUUCAGAUUGUGUCACAAUAUUUGAAAAGAGAGCCUUAAUUGAACAGAUGUAGAUCUUGAACAGCUUUGUUUAUGAGUACUAAAUUAUGAACUGCAUUGAAUUAGAAGAUCAGUCGAAACAAGAAGAAGCAAAAAUGAAAUAAAAGAUAAAGACUAACACUAAAAGCUUGGACAACCAGAUGACCAAGAACAGACUAGUCAAUUAGCUGAAGAACGCACGAAAAAUUCCAUAUUACAUUUCUUACAGUUAAUAAAUGUAAGUGGAGUAAUCACAAACCAUGAGCAUAACCACAAUUCCUGGAUAGGAAAAGAAGGCGGCAAAAUUUAAAGAGCACGUUCAUGAAAAAGAUCAGCAUGUCUUGGUGUACCUUUCCAGCUUAGGUUUCGCAGAAGUCAGAUGUGGUUUAUAUAAUUCUCCAAGAGGUGGCUCAAUGGUCAAUGGAGCGAUUCCAAGUAUAUGAAGCAUUUAGGAUGAAAAUUCCAAAUUACAAGUAGAAUUACCCGAGCUUUUCUUCCGUACAAUUUAUGCAAAUCCAAAGAGAACUUUUCAAUACAUUAAUUUGAUUGAUAGUAACAUGAGCUUUAAGGGGCAUUAUAGCAGAUUAGAGACAUUUUAUUGAUAGCAGCAUUAUUUACACCAAAAAAUGAUUCUCCUCGAGUGUACUAUUAUCAAUCUUAUAUCCUUGUGAUGCCACAGCUACAAAAAUGUUAUCAAAACUAAUAGAUUGCUUCCAAUAAUGGUGACCACUUGAGUUUCAAGAUCUUGACAUCUGCAAGUCAUUAUCUCUAAAUUUGGUGCUCUCAUCACAAUAUGACUUGAGGCAUUGCUCCCACAUUGUAAAUCAUUCAGAAGCAGUAAGGUCUGUAUAGCACAAAAAAUCUGCCAUUGCAAAGUGCUUCCGCGUUCUUUGCUACGCGGGGAUGGAGAACCAUCUCAACUCUAAAGAGGCUAGUUCUGAAUUGAAAAAGGUCAAGGGCUCUAUUCUCCCUCAAGAACCCCCUUCUCCAAGCCUCAAACAACUCGAACUUGCAGCCUCAACAAAGGACUUUGAUACUGGCCAGAUAGACCAGCAGCAUUACCCAGAAUACUUUGGGUAAAAAAAAAAAAGAGGAGAGAGAGAGAGAGUUGGCUAAAAGUCGACAGAAUGAGUUUCGUCAUUUACCUUUACAGGUCCAUUUCAGAUACUCGCAUAGGGUUCCAGAGGCUAGUUUCAUCAGUUAUAUUCAUAGAGCCAGAUUGGAAAAACUACUGCUGUCAUGUGACAAAUAUAGGCUAAGUUCACACCUUGAGGAUAAGUCUACUCAAGUUGGUUCAUAUUAAACACAACCAGUAAGAAAUGUACAUAGACAACAGAGAUCUAGUUUCUAAAUAUACAGCAAAUCUACGAGUAGCUAAACUCUCCCUGGUGGUUGUGAGGAAAGGAGGAGAAAUGAGGAGGUACAAUUAACUUGCUU
rnacentral:lncRNA from 1 species